rnacentral:misc_RNA from 1 species
GUUAAGGAUAAUAGGGAAUGCGCCGCUCAGGCUACAGGUUGAGGUUGGUGGCGAGCACCGGACAAACCUGCAUCCGCGCGCGAGCGAGCGUGACGCCGCAGCUCCGUUGCCAGCGAGCCGCGAUGGCAACUGGUAGGCGGAGCAGCGGAGAGCGGCCAAGUCAGCGUAGGGCGAAGACUACCCGACUUGGCUACCGGCCGCGCCGUCGGCGUACAGCAGUUGAGCAGGGAGCGGUGACCGCACGCGCUCGUAGCAGCAAGUGUUCGUCGUCGUUGCACGGCAGCAGCAGUCGACGACGACGACGACGACGAUCCCGUUGGCGUUGCUGCGGCGGCGGCGGGCUGCACCGCUCGACCGACGACGGCGGCAAACGUUGCUGACACACUGCUACCGGUCAGGCGAGCUGCCGGCAGCGGCGUCUUUGCCGUUCGUCAACUAGCGGUUCGCCGCGUGGCUCCACCCGUACGUCUCCUCGAUGUU